rnacentral:lncRNA from 1 species
GUGUUCUGGAGGAGGCUGUAUUAGGAGGAUCUGAAGGAUGAUAAAUAUGUGCCAGGGAAGAUGGGGGUAUCACUCCUCCCUUCCCAGUUCUACAAAAGCACAGGACAGUGCAGAAGAGAAACUCAGAACUGAACACACAAAUGGGGUAUCCAACUAGAAGAAGGAGUUGGGGUGUGUAUGCUCUGGUCAGGCCAAAGAGAGCCGUGACUGCCUCUCUGGAAGGCAUCCUAGUGGGGAGGGCAUCAGCACUGUGCUGUCACACUGCACAUCAGUAGACGCUUGUGACAUCACACAGACCCAGUAGGAAACAGAGAAGGACUAGGACCACCUCCAUCCCCUAGCAGGCGAGCAGCCAUGUGAGGCACUCACUGCCUCCUUCCAGAGCCCUCCUCCCUGCUCCUGGCCUGGAGGAGCAGGCGCCUAGAGGGAGAAGGACUGGCCACUUCAGAGCAACCCUACCCCAACCACACCAGUGAGGGGUUGGGGGAAGAAUCUGAAAUGAAAUAGGAGGGCAGCGUGGUGCCUUAGAAAUGGUCUUUGCUGUUCUGAUAAAGGAGGGAUGAAUGCAGUGCACAAGAGAUAUCGAUCUCGGAUUGGAACAUAGAAAAUGUCAAUGAAGGAUCCACAGCUUUCAUCAUUCAUGGGAAACUGGCAGGCCAGACCAGCCCAUCCUGUCUCAGAAAGUGAACACCCCUGUGACAGCAGGAUGUUGGAGGUGGGGGUAUGUUUCCACCGCACUGGCUAACUCAGAGCCCAUCAUUUAAAAAGACA